rnacentral:rRNA from 1 species
AGCGAACGCUGGCGGCAGGCCUAACACAUGCAAGUCGAACGAAGUCUUCGGACUUAGUGGCGGACGGGUGAGUAACACGUGGGAACGUACCUUUUGGUUCGGAACAACUCAGGGAAGCUUGAGCUAAUACCGGAUGAGCCCUUAGGGGGAAAGAUUUAUCGCCGAAAGAGCGGCCCGCGUUAGAUUAGCUAGUUGGUGAGGUAAAGGCUCACCAAGGCUACGAUCUAUAGCUGGUCUGAGAGGAUGAUCAGCCACACUGGGACUGAGACACGGCCCAGACUCCUACGGGAGGCAGCAGUGGGGGAUCUUGCGCAAUGGGCGAAAGCCUGACGCAGCCAUGCCGCGUGAAUGAUGAAGGUCUUAGGAUUGUAAAAUUCUUUUACCAGGGACGAUAAUGACGGUACCUGGAGAAAAAGCCCCGGCUAACUUCGUGCCAGCCGCCGCCGUAACAC